UUAAAGCUUUUAUUACUGUUGAUGUUUAUCAAAUAAGGCGGAUGAUGUUGGAUUCAAAUUUUUACGAAGCAGACGACGCACACGCGGUUAUGCCAAAAAAAUAAUUAAUUUACCUUUGUAUUGUUAUUAAAUGAUCAAAUAUUGGUUAUCAACAUUAAUUAUUGUCUUUUUGUUUCAUACUGCGUCGAAAUCGGAAAAUGCAAACCCAGAAUAGGGGAACAACAAUAUGGAAACUCGGUCGGACCUUUUUUGGGGACACAGUGAGGAUGGGCCCCAAUAUAAGUCAAAGAAAAGAAUCGCAAAUAGUCUGUGAACCAGUUGGAAAACCAGACAUUGAAUAUAUGUAUCAUCACAAUCCAAUACAUCAGCAGAAAUCCAAGUUUGAUAUUGUGAUAUUUUUCCAUUUGUUCGACGUAUUCAAUAAACAAUUCAUCAGAGCAAAGAGCUAGAGUUUUACCAGCUAGAUCUUCAUUGGAAAGAUGUCCCUGGAAAACUUCUAGGAGAGAACUAGUUCUAUACCUUUCAAGUACAUAGUAUGUUGUUCUUUUCAUGUACUCACACCUAUCUAUAACUUGCAGCCAUUCAUCCUGAUUUAAUUUAGAUGCUUCAAUAAUUGUAACUUUCAUAUAUUUCAUAAUUCUAUACCAUAGUUUUAUCCAACAAAGUGCAAAUGUAGCAGUCAGUUCUUCAUGUGAGGAGCAUUUUGUUUUAAAUUCUGGCCAAGCGAAACAUGGAACUUCUAAGAUAUAACCCCAGGUGUUCAUGCUCCUGGCAAAAAAUGUCGGCAUUUUUAUGUCAAAGAGUGAAUUAGCUAAGUAGUCUAAAAUAUCAUGUAUACAAGGAGCGUGUAGUUUAGGAUGUAAACAUUUACUAUCCCCAUACACAUGAAAUAAGAAAGCUGAUUUUAGAACGUAGGAAGAGACAUUCAUACACUUUCCUGUUAAAUCGUUUUCUCCUAUUAAAAGGGAUUUUAGAAUUUUAUAAGAUUCCUUAUGAUGCUCAUCCAUAUUCUUCAUCAGUUCAAGUUCCAUUGCCGCAAAUGAUAUAAACAAACAUGGUGGCUCUGGAAAAUGGUCAACAUGACACGAUUUGGUUACAAUAUGACAACCAUGUUGGAGAAGCAAUUCUUUAAAUUCAGAUGGAAAGUC